rnacentral:lncRNA from 1 species
UCCUGAAGCACAAGCUCAUUUCCUGAUAACUCCAUCAUUCCUAUUUUCUCUCAACAUUAUAGAAGGGUACCUAAUGACAGAAUAUAUCCCUCUUGCGUUUUGUGGCUAAAGCUAUUUGGGUGUAAUUGCCAAAGGUAUUCACUCUACCUGAAAGGGUGAGAGCCAAGAAAAAGAAGUGCCUAGCUGUGAGGAAGUUCAGAACAUGAUAAAAUAUACCUCUUAGUACAUAGAGAGAGCAUCACAUGGAGCCCUGGACAUUUCUGUUUGUUGAUGCUCCUAUUCUGCCACAUGUGCUAAUCCUCUACCCUUACGGGAUCAUCGUCCAUCCUGCUUCAGCCAGUUUGGACCACCAUUCUGUAACAUGCCAUCAUGAGAAUCAGAAUGUUGAGGAGUCUUCAUCGAGGGCCUUCCCGCAUGGUUAUUUUUCACUGGUGCUCACAGAGGAUGAAUAUACUCCACCUUCAGCAAUGGCUCCUCCUCAUCACAAAUCACCAUAAACCUUCCUGAAAAUGGUGUCCUCUUUCCUCCCCAAUCAACUUCUUGCACUUUUAACUCUUCCUGGGUCAGCUUCACCUGCCUCCUGCAAGACCCAGUUAAAUCAGGAAGAAAGAUUCCAGGCUUCAUAUGUAUACUCUCCUUUUACUUCCUUAUGAAGUUGAACAGAUAGGACAUGCCACAGACAAUAGAAAGUGAAUAGAAUUGGGCUUGAAGUAAAAGAAAUGGGAUUGGGUAUUUGGGGAGAGGAGGGACAAGGAGACUUUCUAACCAUGUGCAGAUAUGAUCAUCUUAAACAGCCCAAUAAGAAGUUCCAGAGCACAGAUUGCCCAACAGAAGAGUCCGGCAUUGGGCAGAAGUGGGUCGUCCUUACGACCCCCACUGCACUAGCUUAUUGGUGAGGGCUUUUCCUGGAAGAGUGAAGCUCAGCUCAAAAGAGCAUGGACAUAGAGAAUGGAAUGAUAGAGAUUAGAGGUUGGAAAGGGUGGGAGGGUAGGAGAGGGGUGAGGGGUGAGAAAUUACUUAAUGGGUACAAUGUAUAUUAUUCAUGUGCUAGAUACACUAAAAGCCUACACUACACCACUAUGCAAUAUAUUCAUGUAACAAAACCACACAUGUACUUCUUACAUUUUCUUUAAUGCUGAAGUAGAUCCUGCGGUAACUAACACAUAGAGUCUAGCUUAACUCUUUGCAGUUGAAGAGCAGGUUAUAUUUUGAAAGGAGAUACGAGUGACAAUCCCAUGGUGGCCACGUCUCUGGGCUUACAGAUGCCUAAGACUUUGAUCCUUGGUUAAAAUCCUUUCAAAAUCAACAAACACAAGAAAUAUAUAGAAGUAUACCAGAUCUAAACUAAAAGUUUUUUUUUACAUUGCUAUGUAUGCUCCACUAUUCCAAAUAAGCGUCCAAGUACACUAUAGUUGGGUUUUCAAAAUUGCUUAUUUUAUAAUCUCUAACGGACUAGCAACAACCAAAAAGGUAUGAAAGCUGAAAGGACCUCAUGAAUAAAGGGCUUCUUGAGUUCAGUUGGAUCUUGCCUAAGUCAGUCUUAUGUCCCAUGAUCAAACACAUCUUUGAGCAAUAUAGGCUUGGGAUAUACAGUGUCACUUGAAAGUCACAAGAUUGCCAUCGUGAUGCUGUGCGUUUUAACCAGUAUUUUCUUAAAGCUAAAUAGGCCACUGCUUCCAAACAGGAUGGGGUAACUGAGCCAGGUUUACUCUCCAACAUGAAACAAAACUUGGAGAAAAUCCAACAGGACACCAGGGAAACAUUUGUGAAAAAUUCAUAUAAUGGCAUACUAUUUGGAAACAGGAAGGAAUGGAAUACCGAUACACUUGAAAACAUGGUUGAAUCUAGAAACAGUUAUGCUGAGUAAAAGAAGCUAGACACAAAAUAGUACCUACUGUAUAAUUGCAUGCAUACAAUGUUUUGAAACAAGCAAACAGAUCACCAUGGUAGAAAUCAGAAGAGUGGUAGUCUCUGCUAGCGAAAAGGAUCAAAUGUGAAAAGGCAAGAGGGAACUCCUACAUCUUGAUAGGCGUGUGGAUUACCCAGGUGUCCGCAUUGUCAAAAGUAAAACUAUAUAUUUAAAAUCAUUUAUUCAUUUUAAUGGAUAAAAAUUAUACCUCAAUUUUUUAAAGUUUCUCUAAAACGAUCUGUCGAAUGGCCCUUGAAUAGCAUUUAAACAUUUUAUUUUUUCUAAUAGCCAUUUUUGUGUAAUAGCUAAAAUGUUGAAUUAUUAGGAUUAUCUGCAAUUUUAACUUUAAUAUACCAUAAUAGCCCUGACUCAAAAUUAUCUCUGUGUGAAUAGCUUAUAU